CCAGGGCAGGCUGCAGCAGCCACUGGGGUGGCCUCUAAAUCAUUAGUGAUGACAGUAGGAAGUGAAACAGACAGAGUCCUGUUGUGGGUCGAGCAGGGCGCUGCUCCAGCCCUCCCAUGAGCUCUGUGCACGGAGCUGCUCACACACAGAGCCACACUCCCCGUGCCUUGCUACAGGCAUCGCAGAGUGGCUCUCCCCACUUCAAAGGAAUCCAAGCCACCGCAGGCCUCCGGCUUGCAGCAGUUCGGAUGCAGGUAGCAGUGCUGAGCGGGCGCUCCCUGGAGUCUGGAGGGCACAUCUCUAGAACUCUGCCUAACGUCGCGUGCUGUGAAGUUCCUUAUCAAUCCGGACGGGCAGGAAGAGGCUGAGACAGAGGUGAGGCACUGGGAAAUCUGCUCGCUAAUUAAAUCUGAUGGAGCUAAUGAAGCCUGCAGAGGAGAAGAAGGAAAACGCUUACUGGCCAUAAAUGCCUCGGGACCUCUGACCCCAGAGGCUCUGCUGUUAUCCUGGUCCCAUGUGAUGAGAAGGAGGGCUUCCCCUGGAGAUAUCUCUGCUGUGGGGUUUUAUGGCACUUGGGGAAAAAAAGUCACUGUGAAUAUUCUGCAGUGAGAAUAUGAAGGCGAUGUAAUUAUUUUUCUCAAUUAAGAUGUUGAUAUUGAAGGUUAACCCUCACAUAUUGAGGGACUCUGUAAUAAUCCACAUUUACUUAUGUUCCCUUAGCUGUAUGUGUGAGUACACAAAUAUGUGUAGAUUGGUUCUGGUGUCCAAAAACACCUGAAUAUUGGGGAAGAAAAGGCCUGUUACUUCUUAUUUUAAAAUUUAAUUUAAUUUUAUUGUAUUUUAAGUUCUGGGGUUCGUGUGCAGAAUGUGCAGGUCUGUUACAUAGGAAUACAUAUGCCAUGAGGGUUUGCUGCACCUGUCAACCCAUUAUCUAGGUUUUAAGCCUUUCAUGCAUUAGGUAUUUGUCUUAAUGCUCUCCCUCCCCUUUCCCCCCACCCACCGACAGGCUCCGGUGUGUGAUGCUCCCCUCCCUGUGUCCAUGUGUUCUCAUUGUUCAGCUCCCACUUAUGGGUGAGAUCAUGCAGUGUUUGGUUUUCUGUUCCCGUGUUAGUUUGCUGAGAAUGAUGGUUUCCAGAUUCAUCCAUGUCCCUGAAAAGGACAUGAAUUUAUUUUUUAUGGCUGCAUAGUAUUCCAUGGUGUGUAUGUGCCACAUUUUCUUUAUCCAGUCUAUCAUUCAUGGGCGUUUGGGUUGGUUUCAAGUCUUUGCUAUUGUAAAUAGUAUUGCAAUAAACAUAUGUGUGCAUGUGUCUUUAUAGUAGAA
rnacentral:lncRNA from 13 species